rnacentral:rRNA from 1 species
AUUGAACGCUGGCGGCAGGCCUAACACAUGCAAGUCGAACGAGUGGCGGACGGGUGAGUAAUGUCUGGGAAACUGCCUGAUGGAGGGGGAUAACUACUGGAAACGGUAGCUACUACCGCAUACCAUCGGAUGUGCCCAGAGGGGAUUAGCUAGUGGGUGGGGUAACGGCUCACCUAGGCGACGAUCCCUAGCUGGUCUGAGAGGAUGACCAGCCACACUGGAACUGAGACACGGUCCAGACUCCUACGGGAGGCAGCAGUGGGGAAUAUUGCACAAUGGGCGAAAGCCUGAUGCAGCAAUGCCGCGUGUAUGAAGAAGGCCUUCGGGUUGUAAAGUACUUUCAGCGGGGAGGCGUUACCUGCAGAGGAAGCCCCGGCUAACUCCGUGCCAGCAGCCGCGGUAAUAC